GACGAACGCUGGCGGCGUGCUUAACACAUGCAAGUCGAACGGUGAAGCGCCUUCCUUUUUGGUGGGUGUGGAUGAGUGGCGAACGGGUGAGUAACACGUGAGUAACCUGCCCCCUUCUUCUGGAUAACCGCAUGAAAGUGUGGCUAAUACGGGAUAUUCUGGGUCUGUCGCAUGAUGGGUCUGGGAAAGAUAUUGUUUCGGUGGGGGAUGGGCUCGCGGCCUAUCAGCUUGUUGGUGGGGUGAUGGCCUACCAAGGCGGUGACGGGUAGCCGGCCUGAGAGGGUGGACGGUCACACUGGGACUGAGACACGGCCCAGACUCCUACGGGAGGCAGCAGUGGGGAAUAGUGCACAAUGGGCGCAAGCCUGAUGCAGCGACGCCGCGUGAGGGAUGGAGGCCUUCGGGUUGUGAACCUCUUUCGCCAGUGAAGCAGGCCUGCCUCGUUUGUGGGUGGGUUGACGGUAGCUGGAUAAGAAACGCCGGCUAACUACGU
rnacentral:rRNA from 1 species